rnacentral:lncRNA from 1 species
CAACAAGUGAUAUCAGAGCGAGAUUUAUCAAUUAGCCCUUGUAGUUUUUUGAUACAACUUCGUUUUUUUAUAAAGCUUUUGUAAGCUAAGAUGUCAAUAGAGGAAUCUUCAUCAGGAGCUAUGAUCAAGCUCACUGCUACUAAUUACACACUUUGGAGGCCUCGGAUGGAAGACCUCCUCAGUUGUAAGGAUUUGUAUGAUCCUGUGGAAGCCAAAGGUGAAAACCCCAAUCCUACCAAGGAGGCAGAGUGGAAGAAGCUAAAUAGGAAAACUAUCGGUCAAAUUUGACUAUGGAUUGACCAUCGUGUCUUUCACCAUGUGGCAUAGGAGACAGAUGCAUAUGCCCUCUGGAAGAUUCUAGAGGACAUGUACCCAGCCAAGACCGCUCAAAACAAAGCUCUGUUUAUAAGGCAUUUGGUGAAUCUGAAGUUAAAGAGUGGAACUUCAGUUGCUGAGCACAUCAGUGAAUUUCAGAGCUUGGUAAACCAAUUGUCAUCUGUGGAGAUGUCGCUUGGGGAUGAAAUACCAGCCUUACUACCUUUAAGUUCUCUUCCUGAUAGUUGGGAGACAUUAGUAAUAUCUCUUAACAACUCAGCCCCCGAUGGCAAACUUACCAUGUCUAUGGUCAAGGAUGCCCUAUUUAAUGAAGAGGUCAGGAGAAAAGACGUAGACACGGACCAAUCAUAUGCCCUUGUCACAGUGAACCGGGGAAGACAACAAGGAGGCAUUCGAGGUAGGGGGAGAGGCAGAAGCAAAAGUAGGGGUAGAUCCAUAGAUGGAAGGAAGCCUAUUUACAAGUGCUACUAUUGUGGUAUGGAGGGCCACUUGAAGAAGAACUGCAAAAAAUUGCUUUGAGAGCAAGGCCACAACAGUUCGCAGCCGAAAAAUAAGGAAGGAGAGACACUAAUCACUAUUUCUAGGGAGGUGGCUAUCUGCUCCAUUCAUGAGGAGACGUAUUCAUGUCUCAAACUAAGAUAUUGAGUGGAUAAUAGAC